ACGCUCGCUGGCGGCGUGCUUAACACAUGCAAGUCGAACGGUGAAGCACCUUCCUUUUGGUGGGUGUGGAUGAGUGGCGAACGGGUGAGUAACACGUGAGUAACCUGCCCCCUUCUUCUGGAUAACCGCAUGAAAGUGUGGCUAAUACGGGAUAUUCUGGGUCUGUCGCAUGGCGGGCCUGGGAAAGAUAUUGUUUCGGUGGGGGAUGGGCUCGCGGUCUAUCAGCUUGUUGGUGGGGUGAUGGCCUACCAAGGCGGUGACGGGUAGCCGGCCUGAGAGGGUGGACGGUCACACUGGGACUGAGACACGGCCCAGACUCCUACGGGAGGCAGCAGUGGGGAAUAUUGCACAAUGGGCGCAAGCCUGAUGCAGCGACGCCGCGUGAGGGAUGGAGGCCUUCGGGUUGUAAACCUCUUUCGCCAGUGAAGCAGGCCUGUCCCUUUUGUGGGUGGGUUGACGGUAGCUGGAUAAGAAGCGCCGGCUAACUACGUG
rnacentral:rRNA from 1 species